ensembl:lncRNA
AUCUCUGGUUGGAGGUUCCUCCUUUGUGGAGUUGCCCUUAUGAGCCUAGAUCUUCAGAGACAGGGGAAUGGGACCAGCUGGCUCCUAAAGGUUCCUUCCAGCUCAAGUGAUUCUGUGAUCCCAGCAAGAUGGGGUAAUACAGAAGGGAAUUGCCUUUUGCCCCUUCUGAGGGCACGCUUACAAUCUGAGGUGACAAGCUGCAGCAAGUGCAGAAGUGCUCUGGAUCUCGCUGAUUGGCCUCCCAUGACUCACUGUUGGAGCAAAGGGAAAGUUGAGCCAACUUUCUAAAAGGGCCAGAGCGAAGUGCAUGUCUGCCAUGGUAUGAAGUUGUAAGGGAGGAAAAGCAUAUCUUGCAACAGAGAUCUGUGCUCGGUCCAACCAAGCGAGAAAUCGUCUGCAUUUUCCCAGAAUAUUUUUUUCAUGACUUGGUUAGUCCUACAAUUAACCCCAGGCCAAGCAUCAGAACCUCUGCUCACCAGAGGAGGCGGAACAUGGAAUAUUGCUUAUUUGAUUCUCAGAGAGAGAGAGAAAAGGCUGAGUGACAGAUGUGCUGAAAUGAGCAUCCUGCUUUCAGAUUUAAGGGAAUGAUAGUGCAAUGGGGUAGGCCUGAACCAGGCCAUCAGAAGUUGCAGGCAAGUUAGAGGAAAACCACAAUGAAAAGAAGUUAGCAGAAAAUGUACUGUUUUCAUUCACUGAGGAUGUCAGGAAGAGAAGAGGAAGACACAGGGUAAGUUUUGAAGCAGAAGUAGUUCUGUGCUGGAAGCAGGAACUAUCAGGCACAGCUUGCAGCAUCUGGUCCAUGUCUGUACUUAAAAUACCAUUGGCUGCAAUUAAAGCAGGUUGAUAUAGAUAUAAUCAAGACUGUGAUCUGGCAAUGUGCAUGUUUGCUGUAUGGAAAGCAAUCCAACUCUUGUGCUGUGUGUCAGGGGAAUAACUGGCUCCAUCAAGUAGAACAUCCUCCAAGAAUCGUCUCUGCUUUGACCUUCACGGGUCGUUGCUCAUCACUUAGGACUUAGCGAGGUUUUAAGAACACAGGAAUUAUUAAAGUAUCCUGCUCCUGAAAAGGCAGUAGCAACAAAAAAGCUGAAGAUGUGCCAUUCUAUCUACAGAGCUGGAAACAGAUUUCAGCUGGGUCAGCCUCUGGCAUGAGAUGUGCUAAACAGGGCCAAGAUGAAGAAUGGGAAACCGGUCCUGCUGUGUGGAAGGAAACAGACACAGUAGAAGCAAUGCAUACUGCAUUUGCUUUCGAGUAUUUCUAGGCCAGAAAGCUAAGACAUGGAUAGCAAUCCAAUCCAAUGCAGACCUAAGCGGGUGCUUUAUGGCUGUGGCAUCCCUUCCAACACCAAGCAAGCUCAUUGCGAUGCUUGCUGGAACUCACUGCUGAGAGCUGGUUUCCUUGUGUGAGGUUUCUUGUUUGUUCCUCACACAGAUGCUGAUGUCAGUACAAUGCUUACUUUGAGGUCGCACCAGAGGGCAAAUCUCUCAAGCCUUCUUAUGCCAUACAACGGGUUCUUUGGGGAGAUGUUGGUCAAAACUCUUCAGAGCAGCACAAAAAUUUGGUGAAAACCUCAACUGACUCAUCCCUUCCACUCUGUUUCUGUGAAUCAACCUCAUCUGAGCAUUGAGUUAAUUAAGCAGACACAGCUGGUCUGGCUCACAGUGCCACUGGUGGGUACUUCAAAUAGCAGUAAUUUCUAUAGGGGGGAGAAAAAGGAUGCUGAAUUUUGC